UCUAAACCAGCUUUUUGGGUGAAUUUAAACAAUAACAAGUAACAUAAAACACAACAAUACCAAAUAACCAUAUAAUAUAGGCAUUUAACAAAUUUGGCUCCCCCAAUUUCUCAACAACAAUUAUAACUCCUUAAGUCCUAACUUAUUCAUCUUCACUACAGUGACCCCAAAUCCAUAAUAUAAUAGAUAAACACAAUGGAGUAACCAACAACAAAUGAUAAUUCUCAAGGAGAAAUAUAUAUAUACCUAGAGAGGUUGGUUGUUGCUUCCUUCCACUUCCAGGAGUGGUUGUUGAAGUAGGGGUGGAAUUAGCAUUGGCAGACAUUGGAGAGAGUCUCAAGGAAAC
rnacentral:lncRNA from 1 species